AAUUGGAGGGCAAGUCUGGUGCCAGCAGCCGCGGUAAUUCCAGCUCCAAUAGCGUAUAUUAAAGUUGCUGCAGUUAAAAAGCUCGUAGUUGAAUUUCGGGACCAAUAUGUCGGUCGUGCUUUUGUACGUACUGAUAUAAUUGGUUUCUCCCUUCUGAAGAACCUUGAUGUCAUUAAUUUGGUGUCUUGGGGAAUCAGGACUGUUACUUUGAAAAAAUUAGAGUGUUUAAAGCAGGCUCGCGCUUGAAUACAUUAGCAUGGAAUAAUGAAAUAGGACGUUUGAUCCUAUUUUGUUGGUUUCUAGGAUCGACGUAAUGAUUAAUAGGGAUAGUUGGGGGCAUUAGUAUUCAAUUGUCAGAGGUGAAAUUCUUGGAUUUAUUGAAGACUAACUACUGCGAAAGCAUUCGCCAAGGAUGUUUUCAUUAAUCAAGAACGAAAGUUAGGGGAUCGAAGACGAUCAGAUACCGUCGUAGUCUUAACCAUAAACUAUGCCGACUAGGGAUCGGAUGAUGUUAAUUUUUUAAUGACUCAUUCGGCGCCUUACGGGAAACCAAAGUGU
rnacentral:rRNA from 1 species